rnacentral:rRNA from 1 species
GACGAACGCUGGCGGCGUGCCUAAUACAUGCAAGUAGAACGCUGAAGGAGGAGCUUGCUUCUCUGGAUGAGUUGCGAACGGGUGAGUAACGCGUAGGUAACCUGCCUGGUAGCGGGGGAUAACUAUUGGAAACGAUAGCUAAUACCGCAUAAUAGUAGAUGUUGCACGACAUUUGCUUAAAAGGUGCAAUUGCAUCACUACCAGAUGGACCUGCGUUGUAUUAGCUAGUUGGUGGGGUAACGGCUCACCAAGGCGACGAUACAUAGCCGACCUGAGAGGGUGAUCGGCCACACUGGGACUGAGACACGGCCCAGACUCCUACGGGAGGCAGCAGUAGGGAAGCUUCGGCAAUGGACGGAAGUCUGACCGAGCAACGCCGCGUGAGUGAAGAAGGUUUUCGGAUCGUAAAGCUCGGUUGUAAGAGAAGAACGAGUGUGAGAGUGGAAAGUUCACACUGUGACGGUAUCUUACCAGAAAGGGACGGCUAACUACGUG